UACAGAGGGUGCAAGCGUUGUUCGGAAUUAUUGGGCGUAAAGGGCGCGUAGGCGGUGCGGUAAGUCUGUAGUGAAAUCUCUGGGCUCAACUCAGAGUCUGCUGCAGAAACUGCCGUGCUUGAGUGUGGGAGAGGUGAGUGGGAUUCCCGGUGUAGCGGUGAAAUGCGUAGAUAUCGGGAGGAACACCUGUGGCGAAAGCGGCUCACUGGACCACAACUGACGCUGAGGCGCGAAAGCUAGGGGAGCAAACAGG
rnacentral:rRNA from 1 species